rnacentral:rRNA from 1 species
GCCAGCAGCCAUGUUUCUUUGGGCUGUGAUCUUGUCAGAUCUCAUAAGCUUAGCAAGAUUGGGUCAGGUCAGUGCUUGGAUGUAAGCCCUCCAGAGAAAAUCCAGGUGUUGCAGGAA